ACUGAGUUUUCAACUCUCCAAACCAUGUGAACUUACCACUGCUUGCCUCGGUGGUUGGUCUUACGACUGACCCACCGGUGGACUACAAACUCUUGUUAAUUUUUUGGCAUUCUGAAUCAUAACUAAGAAUAAGUUA
rnacentral:misc_RNA from 1 species